UGCCACACGAGCAAUGUAGAGGGUUAGGGAGAAGGUAAACCUGAGGUUCUGCUGCCUGAUUCCAUUCUGCACAGCAUCCAUGAGAUACAGCAACUGUUUCUGCUCUCGAAAGCGAGCUCCUUCCAGAUGAGAACGAAAAGAAGCCAGGACAAAAUACGCUGCUGCUCUCAUGUUGGAAUCGUAGCUGCUAAGGGCAGCCACCGUUAGGCCCAAGGCG
rnacentral:lncRNA from 1 species